rnacentral:lncRNA from 1 species
UUACACUGAAACUGGUGUAAGUCUUAUGAUAGAAAAGAAAGGUCUCUUAAAAGGGAUAAAUGUUAGAAUGGAAAGGAGAAAGUGUAGAGCCAAGGUUCUGAGGGAAAUGAUAAGAAAUAGGCUUCAAGAUUACAAUAGCACAUGCCUAGCACAUCGGGGGUUAAGGGAGGAAGACCAGAGUCCGAAGCCAGCCUGGCUUACACAGGGAGACCCUGUCUCUGAGAGAGGAGAGGGGACUCUGGAGUAACCUCAUCUGAAAGAAGAUGAUAAUAAAAGGUCAUCUGGAUAGUUUGUGAGCUACCAUGUGGUUGCUGGGAACCUUUGAACUCAGGGCCUUUGAAAGCGCAGUCAGUCCUCGUACCCGCUGAGCCACCUCACCAGCCCCCAGCAUUUCUUAAGUGCUCAUGUUCCGGGCAACUGCAAGGAUAUCAAAAUGCUAACCUCAUACAUUUAUCACAUUUAUCCUCACACUGUAUGGGGGCUUCUGAAAACCAAACCAAGAUCUGGUGAAAUGUUCAGAACUGCCCAGCUACAAUGCCAGGGAGGCAGUUUCAACCUGUGCAAUUUGGCCAAAACCAAUAUUCUUUCUCACAUUGUGUGCCUCUCUAGGUUAUAAGGAUACCUAGUAAAAAUGUACACAAACGGCCAUCCUUUCAUAUCAAGUCACAGGACAAAAUGAUCCAAAUGAAAUCCUAUAUCUUUAAUCUGAAAAUAGUUAAAACUUCAUAAAUGCACAAGCCGUGUCCUCAAGAAGGAGAAAGGACAGAGAAGUGAUUUCUUGAUAUGGGCAAGACACAUGGGGCUAUGCGAAGCUGAGCGGAAGUCAGCCAGCCAAUCAGGUAAACACGAAUAAAGAACUUUCUGAAAUC